UACGUAGGGUGCGAGCGUUGUCCGGAAUUAUUGGGCGUGAAGAGCUCGUAGGCGGUUUGUCGCGUCGGCCGUGAAAACUUGGGGCUUAACUCCAAGCUUGCGGUCGAUACGGGCAGACUUGAGUUCGGCAGGGGAGACUGGAAUUCCUGGUGUAGCGGUGAAAUGCGCAGAUAUCAGGAGGAACACCGGUGGCGAAGGCGGGUCUCUGGGCCGAUACUGACGCUGAGGAGCGAAAGCGUGGGGAGCGAACAGG
rnacentral:rRNA from 1 species